rnacentral:misc_RNA from 1 species
AAAGUCGUAACAAGGUCUCCGUAGGUGAACCUGCGGAGGGAUCAUUAAUGAAUGGCUCCGGCCUUCAACCCCUCAACUCUGUGGAAGCAAAGCGUGCUUCGGCGCUCAAGGCGCCGCCUUUAUGCCUUAAUCAGUCUAUGUGUCUGAAUCAAAUACAAGAAAUAAAACUUUCAACAAAGGAUCUCUUGGCUCUC